rnacentral:lncRNA from 1 species
AACCCGAAGAUAUAGAAGGCCUCAUCGAUGCUGUCACCGUCAGAGCUUCGCCGACUUCUCCUUCUUGUACUGAUUCUCAUCACAGCCGGCAAUGCGGCAACGGUAGCGGAGCUGCUAGAGUUUCAAGAGGCCCCAGCCUUCCAUAGCGAUCGGGAUGCAGCAGUGCCACUGCCCCACUAUCCACAUUGCCAUGACCCUCGAUGCUACCUACC